UCCUGUUUAUUUUUUGGAGGUCUGUUUCUGGGGGAGGAUAUUUCCUGUUUAUUUUUGAAGGUCUGAGUUCUGUGGGGAAUAUUUCCUGUUUAUUUUUUGAGGUCUGGUUCUGUGGGGAGGGAUAUUUCCUGUUUUAUUUUUUGAAGGGUCUGGUUCUGUGGGGAGGAUAUUUCCUGUUUUAUUUUUUUUGAAGGUCUGGUUCUGUGGGGAUAUUUCCUGUUUAUUUUUUGAAGGUCUGGUUCUGUGGGGGAGGGAUAUUUCCUGUUUAUUUUUUGAAGGUCUGGUUCUGUGGGGGAGGAUAUUUCCUGUUUAUUUUUUGAAGGUCUGGUUCUGUGGGGGAGGAUAUUUCCUGUUUAUUUUUUGAAGGUCUGGUUCUGUGGGGGAGGAUAUUUCCUGUUUAUUCUUUGGAGGUCUGGUUCUGGGGGAGGAUAUUUCCUGUCUAUUCUUUCGAGGUCUGGUUCUGGGGGAGGAUAUUUCCUGUUUAUUCUUUGGAGGUCUGGUUCUGGGGGAGGAUAUUUCCUGUUUAUUCUUUGGAGGUCUGGUUCUGGGGGAGGAUAUUUCCUGUUUAUUUUUUGAAGGUCUGGUUCUGUGGGGGAGGAUAUUUCCUGUUUAUUUUUUGAAGGUCUGGUUCUGUGGGGGAGGAUAUUUCCUGUUUAUUUUUUGAAGGUCUGGUUCUGUGGGGGAGGAUAUUUCCUGUUUGGUUUUUGGAGGUCUGGUUCUGGGGGAGGAUAU